AAUCCAUAGGUUAAUGAGGCGAACCGGGGGAACUGAAACAUCUAAGUACCCCGAGGAAAAGAAAUCAACCGAGAUUCCCCCAGUAGCGGCGAGCGAACGGGGAGGAGCCCAGAGCCUGAAUCAGCAUGUGUGUUAGUGGAAGCGUCUGGAAAGGCGCGCGAUACAGGGUGACAGCCCCGUACACAAAAGCGCAUGUGCUGUGAGCUCGAUGAGUAGGGCGGGACACGUGGUAUCCUGUCUGAAUAUGGGGGGACCAUCCUCCAAGGCUAAAUACUCCUGACUGACCGAUAGUGAACCAGUACCGUGAGGGAAAGGCGAAAAGAACCCCGGCGAGGGGAGUGAAAAAGAACCUGAAACCGUGUACGUACAAGCAGUGGGAGCACAGGUUUACCUGUGUGACUGCGUACCUUUUGUAUAAUGGGUCAGCGACUUAUAUUCUGUAGCAAGGUUAACCGAAUAGGGGAGCCGUAGGGAAACCGAGUCUUAACCGGGCGUUAAGUUGCAGGGUAUAGACCCGAAACCCGGUGAUCUAGCCAUGGGCAGGUUGAAGGUUGGGUAACACUAACUGGAGGACCGAACCGACUAAUGUUGAAAAAUUAGCGGAUGACCUGUGGCUGGGGGUGAAAGGCCAAUCAAACCGGGAGAUAGCUGGUUCUCCCCGAAAGCUAUUUAGGUAGCGCCUCGUGAAUUCAUCUCCGGGGGUAGAGCACUGUUUCGGCUAGGGGGCCAUCCCGGCUUACCAACCCGAUGCAAACUGCGAAUACCGGAGAAUGUUAUCACGGGAGACACACGGCGGGUGCUAACGUCCGUCGUGAAGAGGGAAACAACCCAGACCGCCAGCUAAGGUCCCAAAGUCAUGGUUAAGUGGGAAACGAUGUGGGAAGGCCCAGACAGCCAGGAUGUUGGCUUAGAAGCAGCCAUCAUUUAAAGAAAGCGUAAUAGCUCACUGGUCGAGUCGGCCUGCGCGGAAGAUGUAACGGGGCUAAACCAUG
rnacentral:rRNA from 1 species